AGUUUCCUUUGAGUUUCAACAUAACAUUUGUGGUAGAUCAAUAUAUGCAGAGGGCACCGUUGAUGCUGUAAUAUUCCUUGCCAAGAAGGUGCUGAUGGUCUGGUAAAGCUAUGGACAGUGAAAACCAACGAAUGCAUUGCCACAUAUGAUAAGCACGAGGACAAGGGACAAGGAGCUUGUCGUUUCUUUCAAUGGGAGGAUACUCAAGAAAUUACCACAAUUAAUGAUCUUGUAGAUGAAACCAAACAUGACAUAUCUGCAGAUUCUACUUCAAGAAGCCAUGAGUUAGUCACUAAAAUGGGAGGUUUGAGUAUUAAGAAUUUAAGGAGGAAGUUUGAUUCACUAGAGAUCGAAAAUCCUCAACAUCGCCCAACUUCUGUGGCUGUACAUGAACAUUUUGAGAAAGAUCAAGAGCUUGUCUUAGAGAGGAGCGAACAUGAUGAGACUUCACCUUUGGACAUUUGAAGUGUGAGACACAGACUUGGAAGGAAUAAUUAUCCUAGAUGGUUUUCAAACACAAUAUGUGCAACAUGUAGGCUUCCAACAAUAACAUACCUGACAAUUGCUUGACAUCAUCCUAUAUUCUGAAUACAAUAGGCUUGGUUUUAAGAUCUAUGGUGGCUGCUACCAACCAAAUUUGACCUUCUACAACCAAAGCCUCCAAAGAGCUAAACUUACAUCCAACAAGCAGCAAUGAUAUCUGUCCUGCUAGCCUGUUCUAUUUAACUUCAUAUCAAGUUUGGACCUACAUGUGUGAAUUGUUACAAAGAAGACCAAUGGAGAGAAUCGUGUAGCUCUAGUUUUCAGAUUCAAAAUUUGAUUGGAAACAUAUCGCUUAGGCAAUUUAUGUAAUAUCAAUUGUGAUUGUUACAUAUCAAGAAUUUGACCAUUUUCUAAAUGAAUUUGAUUGGAUGUACUCCAAAAUAUUCUUGAAUU